AAGUCGUAACAAGGUUUCCGUAGGUGAACCUGCGGAAGGAUCAUUAUUGAAUAAACCUGGCGUGGUUGUAGCUGGUCCUCUCGGGGACAUGUGCUCGCCCGUCAUCUUUAUAUCUCCACCUGUGCACCCUUUGUAGACCUGGACGAUAACUUUCCGAGGCAACUCGGUCGGGAGGACUGCUGGCUUUCACGAGUCGGCUUUCCUUGUAUUAUCCAGGCCUAUGUCUUACACAUACCCCAAAGAAUGUAUUGGAAUGUAAUUGAUAGGCGUGUUUAUAUACUGCCUUUAAAAUCAAAUACAACUUUCAACAACGGAUCUCUUGGCUCUC
rnacentral:misc_RNA from 1 species